ACUUUAACCUUGGUUGAAGUCAUUGAAGUCCAAUGACUGUUACACUCAUAAUAAAAAAAUGCAUCUUAUUUUUGUCUGAAUUUGCUUACUUUCAGCUUCCUCUCAUUGCUUUUCUAUUCAACUGCUAGAAUGAAAAGCAUUCUGCCAUCAAGUAUCUGUCGUCAUGCAGGCAAAGUAUCUCUCCAGCUAUCACAGAGUCCAGCCAGAUAGGAAGACUGAACAAAUGCAGAAGUAGGAUGUGAAGACCGGUGUGAGCUACAUGCUGAGCUAUCAGGUGUCUGGACUUAGGUGAGAGGCAUUCAAAUCAUCUUAACAGCUAUGUUUAUCUGGGUCUUUUGCCCAUCUGUGCAUUUGUAUCUAGGAUCUCAGGAUGCUGUCAAAUCCAAGGCUGAUAGUGGUGUCUCUAGUGAUCGCAUGUCUCUAUUGCUUUCUGGCUGGU